CGCCUCACGGCGGCGCGGCGACGAUGGCGUCUCCGUUCAGCGGGGUGCUGCAGCUGACGGACCUGGAUGACUACAUCGGGCCCUCGCAGGAAUGUGUCAAACCUGUAAAGGUGGAAAAAAAGCCUGGGAAAGCAGCAGCUAAGAUCAAAAUCGAAGCCGAUGGGAGCUAUUUUCAGAUCACUCAGGAUGGAGGAGCACAGAAACUGGAGAAGGCUAAAAUUACUCUGAACGACUGUUUAGCUUGCAGUGGCUGCAUUACAUCAGCAGAAAGUGUCUUAAUCACUCAACAGAGCCAUGAAGAGUUCUACAAAACUCUAUCUUUUAACAAGACUGCAGCUCCCAGUGAACAGAAGUUGGUGGUGGUUUCUGUUUCACCACAGUCCAGGGCUUCAUUAGCUGCAAAAUGUAAAAUGAGUGUUCUGGAAACAGCAAAGAAGUUGACUGCGUUCUUAAAGAGUCAAGGUGUGCACUACGUAUUUGACACAACUUUCUCAAGAAACUUCAGCCUGCUGGAGAGCCAAAAAGAGUUUGUAAAACGCUUUCGAAAGCAAUCUGAAGACAAAAAGGCUUUGCCAAUGCUAGCUUCUGCCUGUCCAGGUUGGAUCUGCUAUGCAGAGAAAACCCAUGGCAGUUUCAUCAUUCCUUACAUCAGCACCACUAAGUCUCCACAGCAGAUCAUGGGCUCCUUGAUAAAGGGCCAUUUUGCAGAGCAGCAGCACUUAACACCUAAUAAGAUAUACCACGUAACAGUGAUGCCCUGCUAUGACAAGAAGCUGGAGGCUUCAAGGCCAGACUUCUUCAACCAAGAGUUCCAGACCCGCGAUGUGGAUUGUGUGAUCACCACAGGAGAAGUGCUGAAGUUGUUGGAACAAGAAAAAGUGUCUCUCUCAGAUGUAGAACCUGCUCCUUUGGAUUCCAUGUUUAAUAGUGCCAGAGAGGAGGAACUCACUGGCCACUCGGGAGGUGGCUCUGGUGGCUAUUUGGAGCACAUAUACAAGUAUGCAGCCAAGGAACUCUUUGGCAUUGAAGUGGAUACAAUUCAGUACAAGCCUUUAAAAAACAAGGACUUCCAAGAGGUGACACUGGAGAAGGAUGGAGCAGUUCUGCUCCAGUUUGCUCUGGCAUACGGGUUUCGAAACAUACAAAACUUAGUGCAGAAGUUGAAGCGGGGGAAGUCACCCUAUCACUACGUGGAAGUCAUGGCCUGCCCAUCAGGUUGUUUAAAUGGAGGCGGCCAGAUCAAAGUGGAAGGUGAACCUAGCAAGGACUGGCUUCAGCAAGUUGAGAAGCUGUAUGAGUCCCUUAAGACUGAAAUUCCAGAGGAGAACCGGACUGUAACUGCCCUGUAUGAGCAGUGGCUGGGUGGCACUGAGUCUGAAAAGGCAGGGAAAGCUCUGCAUACAGAAUACCAUGCCGUGGAAAAAGCAAGCACUGGAUUUAACAUCAAGUGGUGAAGGCUGAUGCUGGAAGCAGACUGUGAAGCCUGCAUAUUCUUAGUGCCUUUUAAGUUGAUUCUAUUUACGAUUCUCAAGAGACAGCCACAGCUCUGUGCCAUCGUUUCUGUGCCAUCACUGGGGAAUUGCAGUUUCUCACUCUCAGUCAGGGAGAAGUUACUGCUAUGUGGGGAAGAACGACUGCAGGAAGUAAAAUGGAUGAAAACUGAAUGCAAAGCAGCCACUUUGCUUUGCUCUUUCAGAACAGACAUGGAGCUGGUUACUGCACGUAGCCCAGACUCAAACCUUGGCCAGGCCCUCUUCAGAGAUAACCCUCACUGUUCCUGCAGACCUUGUGCUUAGGGCUGUCAAGAAGCAAAACUGUCAGACCUUAACCUGCCUCAUUUAACAGCUUCUCUGGCAGCCCUUCCCUGCAUCCUCCUUCAAUCUUCAUUAAAAAUGAGCCAACAAUGUAAAAGAUAAUUGUAAUGGUUUUAAUUAAAGGCUUUACAUACUUCA